GUCUGUGACCAACGUGCAAGAUAAGAUAAGAUAAAUGCUUGUAUCUCAAAUAGAAAUAGAAUUUUGUUCAAGAUGUGGAUAUACAUUACAAUUUGAAGAAUUAAAAAAAUAUAUUAAUGAACACUUUCCUGAUUUAAUAGUAAUAGGUAAAGAAGGAAUGCCAGGAUCUUUUGAAGUUAAAAUUAAUGGAAAAUUAAUAUUUUCAAAAUUUAUGACAGGAGGAUUUCCUAAUCAUGAAGAUAUAAUUAAUGAAAUAGAAACACUUAUUUCUGGUGGAAAUCCAAAACUAAUUAAUAAUACUGCAGCAAAAGUAUCAAUAUGUUCACUUUCAUAAUUGCUAAUUUAUUUUAAUUAAAAAACAUUAAAUUUUUACUAUAUUGAUAUUAACUUUUUAAUAUAUUUAAUAAUAUUUGUUUUAUUAAAUAUUUAUUUUUUAUAAAGUGAAAUUUAUUGAUUUUAUGUUGAAUAUUUGUUUUUAUUUAACUUUUAUAAAUUUGAGCCAUGAUUUAACUUGAAUUCAUAUCAGGCUAACAUCAAUCAAAAUUUAUUAAAAAAAAAUUUAAUAUACAUGUCAGAAAUAAUAAUUAUAUACUAUUUUAAAUCUAGAAAAUGAUGUGUUAUGUUUAAU